UAUCAUUGAUUUAGAAUCUAGAUUGUUUGAUUUACAAUCUUCAUUUUGCCAUGAAAUUAUACUUGCACUUUAUUUUUCUUUAGUUAAGACAUAGCCUGUCUGGUUUUGAUAUUUAGUUUUCCUCUUUUGUCAGUUUGAAUUCUGCCAUACGUGAUUAUUUGUUAAGAUGCCUCUAUGAAAUUUUAUGAUUCAAUACCCUAGCUGCUACCGCUGGCUACAGAAUAUGGAAACAAAAAUAUUAACAAGGAUGAAAUUUCUCAAUGAAAGGAAGAUCCAGCAAGUGUGUUAACCUCUUCUUAGCAAUCAAUCAAGCUCUUUACAUAGUAUUGGACACUGAUUAGAUCACUAAACUUGAUUUCUACUGCUGAUAAAAACUAUCAUUUUGUUGAUUGGGACAAAGUAUGGAGUCGAGGAUAAAUCUAAAGCAGUAGAACAAACACUGAUCCUAAUCUACGUACAAAGAAAAAGAAGAGGGGGCAUGGAAAUCGAAGAAAGACAAUCAAAAUAAGACAAUUGUUGCCAAGGUGAUGCGGACUUGAUUGCAGAACACUAAUCAGGAUGCUGAUGGAAGGUAAAUCAAAUUUUAGAACAUGUCACUGCAUCUUACCGGUGCAACUGGCACACUAUUCAAACGGAAAGAAUUUUCAGUGAGAAACGAAGAGAUGAAAUUGAGAGGAAGGGUGUGGUUCGUCCCUCCAUGUGGCGCUCAUCGUACAGCGCCAUCGCUACCUGCAACAGUUGAUGGUCAAUGGUGAUGUAAAGCAUUUACUUUAGAAGGAUAGGCUAAAAUUGAGGCUCAGUUUUGCUAAAAGUUAUUAGAGGUUCCACUUCUAAUCAAAGGAUUAACAUCAGACGUAAGUGAUACUAAUUGUUUUGUCUUUCUUUUGGAAUUUGGUUCCAAGUGUAGGCCUUGCAAUCUUGUCCAGUUCAGUUGCUAUCUUCUUGGUUUUUAGCAUAGUGUUCUUUCGUAGUGUAAGUUAUUUUCACUCAGCAGGAAAAAUUGAAAUAAGAGUACUCUGUAUGAAGUUCAAGUUCUAUGAUUUGGUUUUUCUUGAAAUGUAGGUUUCUGAAUUGAAAAUGAAAAACAUAUAAUAAAGCACCAUUUAAACAUAACUCAGGUAAAGAUUGAACACAAUUUAUUAAAGAUUUCCUCUUUCCAGAUUCUUGGUUAUGAAAGCUGGGGACUUUAUUAAUUCCUUUUCAGCUCUAUUGAUGUCAAAAUGGGCCUGAUAUAGGUAUUUGUUUCUUUUGGCAAUAGAUUUUUAUGUUGUAUACACCGGAAGUGUAAAGAAUUUUUUGCAUUGUCGGGGCACUCAAACGAUAUGCAAUCUUGAAAAUAAUUCUCCAUCUAAUUUUCUUUUUUGUUCCUGUACUCUCUCUCUCUCUCUCUCUCUCUCUCUCCAGGUCGUUUUUGAUGCAUUCAAUAAAAAUUUGGCUAAGGAACGGGGCAUGGAAAAUGAUAUAAGAUGCUAUUAUAUCAGGCCCUUUUAUAUAAUACUGCGUGAAUGGAAUUGCUUCUAGCUAUGCAGCUUGAAGCAAACAUAUUCUACUUUAUUCUUUCCUGUCUUCAUGCUUUCUUUCCAGUACUAAUCUGAAGAGAAGAAGCAUCCAAGACCACGACAAAAAUAGGAAUAUGGAAAAGUCAAAGCUGCAUUACUGCCCUCAAUUGCUAGAUGAGAGGUUACUGAGGCUACUGAUAUGUUACAUAUAUGUAUUGAAUUUUACUGGGCCAGCACUUUUAUGUAGUUACUCUCUCACCUUAAAGUUGCGUGAAGCUAAAAUAUUCCUCCUUUGCUUAAUGAAGGCACAUACAUUCUUUUGUUGCCCCGAACUGCGCUACUACUAUGUCUCUAUGCUCAAAUCUUGAUCCUAUUUUGGGGUUGUCUUUUUUAGUUCUUAGAUACUUUUUUACGAGUUCAGCUGGUUUUGUAAAGAUUUGUCUUCCAUGUAUUGGAAUAUUUUGCAGUUGGCGUGUUGUGACUUCUCUAAGCAUUUGUAUUUGUAUUCUUACUCUUUCACGUAUAUCAAAGUCGCUUUAUGUACAACGUAAAGAUGUAUGAAUUACAGUGAGCUUAAGUUCAAUGGAUUUGUAAAUAAAUGUGCGGGAAAUGAAUAAUGAAAUUGGUGAUAAGAAUUUUAUAGUGAUGUACAAUAGAAUUGACAACAUGCACAACUUCAUUCUACUUGGUAGCAUUUGAACUGCCAUUACUCUAAUGUCAUAUAAAUAAGGAGGAAAAAUCAUAUUUUCGUGAAUUGAUAUAAACUUACCCGAGAUGACAGUUAAUUGGGUUCAUUUGUUUGCUUAUAUUUGAUGUAGUGUUACUUACUUCAAGCAUUUCCUUUUAAUGUAAAUACCAAGCCACUUCAGCUAUAGGCGUACAAAGAAUGGGAGAUGAAAUUAUUUAACAGGGAAUUCUCCAGGCUAUAAUGAACUAUUCAGUUGCAGGGAAAUACAACAAUGACUAAAGAAUUAUGUUGUUGAAUACUGCACUAAGAGUUGAGAACCUCGAAUUUUGACGAUGGUUUCUAGGAAAAGACAACUGCAGACAGGUAUAUUCUCAUUCUAUAACUUAGUAAUUUGAUUUCUCAAUCUGGUGUUCAUCUGCUAACAAUGAGGUGAUCAGGAUCCGUUCAUGUUUUACAUAAAUGGAGAGGCGAGGGAAAUCUUGCUUAGGAGUUGAUGAAGGUUGCUUGAAAUUAUUGUAACUUUAAUAUGAACUCAUCUAUCGUAUUGUAAGCAGGACUUCGCAACAUAUGCAGAGGCAUGACAUGGUGAAGCAUUGGAUCACACUCAAUAAACCUUAUACAUAUUUAUAGUACAAGGUUAUGAUCUCGGCAGCCAGUCAUCACAGGGGCGAUGAUAUAUCCUUCUUCAUGCCUUUUAUAAAGAAGAAAACAGUGGCAGGUUCGAACCUUACAUUGCUGCACACAAUGGCCUCUUGGUUCAUACAACUGCAGUGAGCAUUUUAGAAAGAAGUAUCAGGCAGUUAAUACAUAUACUUUCACUAACAUUGAAUUCUUUGAUACUUGAGUCGGGAUAAAUAAGU